CAAAACCUAAUCCUCAAACACGUCCACGCCGCCACCGCCACCAACCACUCGACCGCAGCGCCGGCUUCCUCCCGGAACACAGUCGCCGCCGACUGCCGUCCUCUACCAACGAAACCCUUCGCUGCUACCUCCCCAUCCCCCGCUGCACCCAGCGCUUGCUUCCUCCGAGGAACACCGCCGACCGCCUCCAUCCCCACAACAGCCAAGGUAUCCUCCGCUGAGCAGGCCUCCUCCUCAAGAUUUCUCCCCCGAGCAGGGCCUCCUCCUCCUCCACGAGCAUCCUUCCCCGAGCACUAAGUUGUGCCGCCUCCUGUCUCCCUCACCCGAGCACCGGACCAUCCUGUACGACCGCUCUCCCGAGAAGCUCCAGCUCCUCUACAUCCUCUCCCAGGGGCAGCGCCGCCUCCUUGCCUACCGAGAGCACUUGGCCGGGCAGCAUCAUGGAAGCUCUAGAGAAUUCAGGGGCCAGCUAAGUGAAGGGCUGAUCUACAACAUUGUGCCAUUCAAUCUCAUUGAGCAUGAAAAGACAUUCAGAUCGGUAGUAUUUGAUGAGUAAGUACAAACCUUUUAGGCUAUUUGUUUAUGUUCAGCUAUACUCUUGUAUGGACUAUGCACAAGAAUUAACAUGAUUGUCCACUUUAAGAAUACAUUUCCUUUCCUAUUGGUCUAAGUCUAAUUACUUGCUGAUUAGAUAGUUACAUGUAUGUGCACUCUUCUAUUUUUUAUAUACUGAUGACAAGUAUAUGUACUGCAAUGACAUGACAGCAUGAUGACUCAGUAGUUGUAGGAAUGGUUGCUAUGGAAACUUAAGGCUUUUGGCUUUAUCAUAUUGCUAUUUGGGAUUAGUUCAUGGACCCGUAUCUCAAUUAUCCUUGAUUAAGUGCAAAGCAAUCUGUCCAGCAUAAAAUUUACAGAAAAACUUGCUUGAAAUCUGAGCACAUGUAUCCUCUGUUUUGCAAAAAAGGUAACCUGAAGUUCUUAUGCUUAAAUACAUAGAAGUUUGAUUAGUAUUUUCUAAAGUCAUGAUUAAUUUUUUGAUUCUGAUUAGAUUUAGAUGAUAAUUAGAUUUUUUGUUUCUAAUUUCCUAAUCUCACUGUCCAGUUUGUCCUGCAAAUUACUCAUGCAUAAACUUGGCCUUGUGGCAAGCAUUACAGAACAUUAUCCUAUUUUUCUGUACGACUAAGCUACAUGUAUCCUAGAAUUCCGCUACUAAGUUAUACCAACACUGACUGGUAAAUUACUAUUGAUUUGAGUCAUUACGGGAAUCUUGUUACAAAUCACUAGUUACAUGUUACAAUAGUAUAGACAAAAGGGCACAAAUUCUCGCAGCCUUCAGCUUGCCAAGGCAUUAAAAAUUAUUCAGCAAAUAUAAUGUGCUUCGUUAACAUCUCAUCUCCUGAUUAUGCAAAGCAGAAUGGUCAUUUUGGUGGCGAGUGUGUUUUGUACUGCCGCCCCUACUAGAAAUAGCAUUGCAUCAUGACUUCUUGAAGUUGUUGUCUUUCUACCUCUAGCCAUUGUUUUGUCCUCUUCAAGUUUCUUUCUGUAGGUAGAUGUUACAAACAUGUAUUUGCCAGCAAACAGGUGGGACUUCCAUGCUCCUCUAUUUAUGAAGGUUCCGCAAAGAUACACAAGUUGAUGGAGGUGUGGAAUAUCUACAGGCUGCUGAAGAUUUGGAAGACCUGCAAUUAAGUUGGAGUGAUUAUGUAAUGUUGUUUAUUGAACUUGAGACAUUGACAAUUUUUACUCUGCUCUUUUUGGUGGUUGUUUUGGCACAUAAGCCAUUGUAUGC